AUUGCAUGCCCAGGGGGCCCAAACAGAUGCUUGCCCAGGGUCCAAUCAAUAUUAAAGACGGCCCUGUAUGUAACUAUGUAACUAUGUAAGAGUGACAUUUUGAGAUCACAGGUGACUUCAGCAAGGAUGUUGAUGUUGAUGGAGGAAAAGCUGGGGGCUGUAGAGAAGGAAUCUUGGAGCUGGAAACUAGGUAAGUUUAUUACAUUAAAGUGAACCUUUACAGAGCAAAAG